AGGCGCCAAACCGCUGCACCAUCCAGGGAUCCCAGACUUCUUGUUUCCUGAGACUGUUGUGCCCAAGAUUGUGAAUCCGAAAAACCAUGGAGAAGCCCACACCGAAGCAAACACACGAGGGUUUAUUUACAAGCUCGAGCUUGUGUCCAAGUAUACCUGACAGUGCGGAGCAGGGACUUCGACCCCGAGAGGAAGAAUCAGGGAUUCACCAGUUGGAGAUAACAGCAAUGCUCGUGACAUCACGUGACCUCCUUCAUGCAGGUCCCCUGUUAACCUCCCUGCCUCCAACGACCAUCAGUUUGUUUCCUAUCAUUAAGAGUCUGUAUUUCGGGGAUCCCUGGGUGGCGCUGCGGUUUGGCGCCUGCCUUUGGCCCAGGGCGCGAUCCUGGAAACCCGGGAUCGAAUCC